rnacentral:pre_miRNA from 1 species
GUUGUUGACAUGGAGCUCCUUGAGGUCCAAUCCAGGUUCUUACUUAGGUAAAAGCAGCUGCUAGUUCAUGGAUCCCACUGUGUUAUUUCCAAAUAUAAGAGAAUGGAGAUAUAAUGGUGGUUUGCAUGACCAAGGAGCUGCAUUCUUGCCUUGUGAGAUUCCUUGUUUGGAUUGAAGGGAGCUCUAUGUGUUCUCCCC